CCUACGGGAGGCAGCAGUGGGGAAUAUUGGACAAUGGGCGAAAGCCUGAUCCAGCAAUGCCGCGUGAGUGAUGAAGGCCUUAGGGUUGUAAAGCUCUUUUACCAGGGAUGAUAAUGACAGUACCUGGAGAAUAAGCUCCGGCUAACUCCGUGCCAGCAGCCGCGGUAAUACGGAGGGAGCUAGCGUUGUUCGGAAUUACUGGGCGUAAAGCGUACGUAGGCGGUUAUUCAAGUCAGAGGUGAAAGCCUGGAGCUCAACUCCAGAACUGCCUUUGAAACUAGAUAGCUAGAAUCUUGGAGAGGUGAGUGGAAUUCCGAGUGUAGAGGUGAAAUUCGUAGAUAUUCGGAAGAACACCAGUGGCGAAGGCGACUCACUGGACAAGUAUUGACGCUGAGGUACGAAAGCGUGGGGAGCAAACAGGAUUAGAUACCCUGGUAGUCCACGCCGUAAACGAUGAUAACUAGCUGUUCGGGCUCUACGAGCUUGAGUGGCGCAGCUACGACAUUAAGUUAGUCCGUCCGUCGGGAGGUACGGUCGCGAGAAGUUAAACUACUAAAUUAGAAGUUAGUUACGGCGUGAGACGUUGCCGACGGACGACGACGAGGGAGGAGG
rnacentral:rRNA from 1 species